rnacentral:rRNA from 1 species
GAUGAACGCUAGCUACAGGCUUAACACAUGCAAGUCGAGGGGAAACGAUAUUGGAAGCUUGCUUCCGAUAGGCGUCGACCGGCGCACGGGUGAGUAACGCGUAUCCAACCUGCCCAUCACUUGGGGAUAACCUUGCGAAAGUAAGACUAAUACCCAAUGAUAUCUCUAGAAGACAUCUGAAAGAGAUUAAAAGAAUUUAUCGGUGAUGGAUGGGGAUGCGUCUGAUUAGCUUGUUGGCGGGGUAACGGCCCACCAAGGCGACGAUCAGUAGGGGUUCUGAGAGGAAGGUCCCCCACAUUGGAACUGAGACACGGUCCAAAACUCCUACGGGAGGCAGCAGUGAGGAAUAUUGGUCAAUGGGCGAGAGCCUGAACCAGCCAAGUAGCGUGCAGGAUGACGGCCCUAUGGGUUGUAAACUG